rnacentral:rRNA from 1 species
ACGGGUGAGUAAUACAUCGGAACGUGCCCAAUCGUGGGGGAUAACGCAGCGAAAGCUGUGCUAAUACCGCAUACGAUCUACGGAUGAAAGCAGGGGAUCGCAAGACCUUGCGCGAAUGGAGCGGCCGAUGGCAGAUUAGGUAGUUGGUGAGGUAAAGGCUCACCAAGCCUUCGAUCUGUAGCUGGUCUGAGAGGACGACCAGCCACACUGGGACUGAGACACGGCCCAGACUCCUACGGGAGGCAGCAGUGGGGAAUUUUGGACAAUGGGCGCAAGCCUGAUCCAGCCAUGCCGCGUGCAGGAUGAAGGCCUUCGGGUUGUAAACUGCUUUUGUACGGAACGAAACGGCUCUUUCUAAUAAAGAGGGCUAAUGACGGUACCGUAAGAAUAAGCACCGGCUAACUACGUGCCAGCAGCCGCGGUAAUACGUAGGGUGCAAGCGUUAAUCGGAAUUACUGGGCGUAAAGCGUGCGCAGGCGGUGAUGUAAGACAGUUGUGAAAUCCCCGGGCUCAACCUGGGAACUGCAUCUGUGACUGCAUCGCUGGAGUACGGCAGAGGGGGAUGGAAUUCCGCGUGUAGCAG